rnacentral:rRNA from 1 species
ACCCUACGGGGCGCAUCAGUGUUUUAUCUUGGACACUUUUUUCCACCCUGAUCCAGCGACGCCGCGUGAGUGAAGAAGUAUUUCGGUAUGUAAAGCUCUGUCAGCAGGGAAGAAAGAAAUGACGGUACCUGACCAAGAAGCCCCGGCUAACUACGUGCCAGCAGCCGCGGUAAUACGUAGGGGGCAAGCGUUAUCCGGAAUUACUGGGUGUAAAGGGAGCGUAGACGGUGAUGCAAGUCUGGAGUGAAAGGCGGGGGCCCAACCCCCGGACUGCUCUGGAAACUGUGUAACUUGAG